rnacentral:rRNA from 1 species
AGCGAACGCUGGCGGCAGGCCUAACACAUGCAAGUCGAACGAACCUUUCGUGCUUAGUGGCGGUCGUGUGAGUACCACGUGGUAACUUGCCCUUAGGUUCGGUACACCUCAGUUUAACUUGUCCUAAUACCGCUUGUGCUCUUCCGGGGUAAGAUCUACUGCUUCUAGAGCGGCCUGCGUCUGAUUCGCUAGUUGGUUGUGGUAAUGGCUCACCAAGGCGACGUUCAGUAGCUGGUCCGAGAGGAUGAUCAGCCACAUUGGGACUGAGACACGGACCAAACUCCUACGGGAGGGAGGAGUGGGGAAUCUUGCGCAAUGGGCGAAAGCCUGACGCAGCCAUGCCGGGUGAAUGAUGAAGGUCGUAGGAUUGUAAAAUUCUUUGACCGGGGACGAUAAUGACGGUACCCGGAGAAGAAGCCCCGGCUAACUUCGUG